rnacentral:rRNA from 1 species
GAUGAACGCUGGCGGCGUGCCUAAUACAUGCAAGUCGAGCGAACAGAUGAGGAGCUUGCUCCUCUGACGUUAGCGGCGGACGGGUGAGUAACACGUGGAUAACCUACCUAUAAGACUGGGAUAACUUCGGGAAACCGGAGCUAAUACCGGAUAAUAUAUUGAACCGCAUGGUUCAAUAGUGAAAGACGGUUUUGCUGUCACUUAUAGAUGGAUCCGCGCCGCAUUAGCUAGUUGUUAAGGUAACGGCUUACCAAGGCAACGAUGCGUAGCCGACCUGAGAGGGUGAUCGGCCACACUGGAACUGAGACACGGUCCAGACUCCUACGGGAGGCAGCAGUAGGGAAUCUUCCGCAAUGGGCGAAAGCCUGACGGAGCAACGCCGAGUGAGUGAUGAAGGUCUUCGGGUCGUAAAACUCUGUUAUUAGGGAAGAACAAAUGUGUAAGUAACUAUGCACGUCUUGACGGUACCUAAUCAGAAAGCCACGGCUAACUACGUG